CCCCAGUAACGGCGAGUGAAGCGGCAACAGCUCAAAUUUGAAAUCUGGCCCCCCCCCCCGGGGGGCCCGAGUUGUAAUUUGCAGAGGAUGCUUUGGGCGAGGCGCCUUCCGAGUUCCCUGGAACGGGACGCCACAGAGGGUGAGAGCCCCGUCUGGUCGGACGCCGAGCCUCUGUAAAGCUCCUUCGACGAGUCGAGUAGUUUGGGAAUGCUGCUCAAAAUGGGAGGUAUAUGUCUUCUAAAGCUAAAUACCGGCCAGAGACCGAUAGCGCACAAGUAGAGUGAUCGAAAGAUGAAAAGCACCUUGAAAAGGGGGUUAAACAGUACGUGAAAUUGUUGAAAGGGAAGCGCUCGUGACCAGACUUGGGGCGGGCGGAUCAGCCGGCGUUCUCGCCGGCGCACUCCGCCCGUCCCAGGCCAGCAUCAGUUCGCGCCGGGGGACAAAGGCGGCGGGAACGUGGCUCCCCAGGGAGUGUUAUAGCCCGCCGCGCCAUGCCCCGGGGGCGGACUGAGGGCCGCGCAUCACUGCAAGGAUGCUGGCGUAAUGGUCACCAGCGACCCGUCUUGAAACACGGGCCAAGGAGUCGUCCUCGUAUGCGAGUGUUCGGGUGUCAAACCCCUACGCGGAAUGAAAGUGAACGUGGGUGAGAGCUUCGGCGCAUCAUCGACCGAUCCUGAUGUUCUCGGAUGGAUUUGAGUAGGAGCAUACGGGGCCGGACCCGAAAGAAGGUGAACUAUGCCUGUGUAGGGUGAAGCCAGAGGAAACUCUGGUGGAGGCUCGCAGCGGUUCUGACGUGCAAAUCGAUCGUCAAACAUGGGCAUGGGGGCGAAAGACU
rnacentral:rRNA from 1 species